rnacentral:rRNA from 1 species
AGACUUUGAUCAUGGCUCAGGAUGAACGCUAGCUACAGGCUUAACACAUGCAAGUCGAGGGGAAACGACAUCGAAAGCUUGCUUUUGAUGGGCGUCGACCGGCGCACGGGUGAGUAACGCGUAUCCAACCUGCCCACCACUUGGGGAUAACCUUGCGAAAGUAAGACUAAUACCCAAUGACGUCUCUAGAAGACAUCUGAAAGAGACUAAAGAUUUAUCGGUGAUGGAUGGGGAUGCGUCUGAUUAGCUUGUUGGCGGGGUAACGGCCCACCAAGGCGACGAUCAGUAGGGAUUCUGAGAGGAAGGUCCCCCACAUUGGAACUGAGACACGGUCCGAACUCCUACGGGAGGCAGCAGUGAGGAAUAUUGGUCAAUGGACGAGAGUCUGAACCAGCCAAGUAGCGUGCAGGAUGACGGCCCUAUGGGUUGUAAACUGCUUUUAUAAGGGAAUAAAGUGAGUCUCGUGAGACUUUUUGCAUGUAUCUUAUGAAUAAGGACCGGCUAAUUCCGUGCCAGCAGCCGCGGUAAUACGGAAGGUCCGGGCGUUAUCCGGAUUUAUUGGGUUUAAAGGGAGCGUANGCCGGAGAUUAAGCGUGUUGUGAAAUGUAGAUGCUCAACAUCUGAACUGCAGCGCGAACUGGUUUCCUUGAGUACGCACAAAGUGGGCGGAAUUCGUGGUGUAGCGGUGAAAUGCUUAGAUAUCACGAAGAACUCCGAUUGCGAGGGCAGCUCACUGGAGCGCAACUGACGCUGAAGCUCGAAAGUGCGGGUAUCGAACAGGAUUAGAUACCCUGGUAGUCCGCACGGUAAACGAUGGAUGCCCGCUGUUGGUCUGAAUAGGUCAGCGGCCAAGCGAAAGCAUUAAGCAUCCCACCUGGGGAGUACGCCGGCAACGGUGCAACUCAAAGGAAUUGA